rnacentral:lncRNA from 1 species
UUUAUCUCAACAGUCAACUCCGGCCUACGCAUCCUCUACGUAGGGGACCGAUGCAAAUAAGUGAAUGAUCCAGAAAAACAAAAAAACAAAAGAAAGCAAAAAGGCAACUCCGGUAUAGGUGACCCUCACAAAGUCAUUUAAACCAAAUAAUUGUAAAAAUUUGCUACAAAAAGAAAAAGAAAAAGAAAAAGAAAAAGAAAAACUUACCCACUGUUAGUUGGUUCAGAGGUAUCUGGCACUGAACUCGGUAGGGCGGAUUACGAUCCGAUCCCCCACAACUUCAGUUGGAUCCAAUAAAAGGGUUUACACAUAUUUAUGUGCCAGAAACCCCAUGCUCAGAUCAUAAUCACUAACAUGCCACUCUACUAUGAAGCAUGUACGGAUAACG